GCAAACCAUACGAAAACCCCUCUCUCCAAGUUAAUGAAACAAGUUAGUCAAAGAAUUUCUCAGAAUGUUAAAACAAAGGACCUCCAAUGUCAGAGCUUCGACCAGGGUCUUUGGGAAAAGGAUUGUUUUAACAAAGAAAGGCAGAGGCAAAAGAGACCUUUGAACAUAGAACGUUGGAACCUAGAACGUUUGAGCUAGAAGAGCCCUUCGAGAUUAUCUAGUACAACUUCACUCAUUUUGCAGAUGGGAAAACUAAGACCCAAGCUUGGGGCAAGGGAGACGGAGGGGAUCUCACCCAAAGUUCAUCAAGUUCAUUGAGAAUUAUUGCCUGGGUUCUUGCAACAAAGAACGCAGUAUGAACUAGCUGAGCUGGGAGGGGCUCGAGAACACGUCGUUUACACAAAGAAUUUCGGAACUGGAAGGAAGGGGGGUCGGACGGAAUGCGGGAUGUUUUGUGCCGUCUCCCUCCCCGGUUUUCCAGACGACCCAAAUGUCCGAGGGGCCGUUGGCACCGGUGGCGGGCGGGAUUCCGCGCGAGGUCCUGCACCUCCUGGCCCCGAGCUCUUUGCAGCGCAUUUGGAGCCAGGUGCUCUCCCCUCAGCUGGGAGUGAAGUGUCCGGCUCGCCCCGGGGCACACGGUCCAAAGCAAGUUAGUGAGCCCAGGCGAGCCAGCGCGGGCUGAAGACUCGGGAAGCUGCCUCUUCCUCCUCCUCCUGUCAGGUGAAAUUAAAAAGAGAGAGGACGUUCUUUUGGGGAGUAAUCUCUCGCCUGCUCCUAGCAGCCCCGUAAACUGAUAAAUUGCAGAUUAAGUGACUGCCACACUCCACUUCAGUUCCCCCGCUGUUAAUUUCACACGUUGUGCAAUUCGCCGCUUUCAGGGCCUGUCAAUUCCACCUAAUGGCAGGAGGCCUAAAACGCUUUGCCCUGACAGUCCCAGAUCAAGAAACUCCAACUCCUAACUCGGCUGGAUUGCAUACAUCACUUCUGCACAAAUUACCAAUAUGCCAGCGAGGAGGAAUUAUGUCAGAUGACAGCGGAGACAUGAGACGCAGGCUGUGUCUAGGGGACCUUGGACAAGUCAUUUCCCCUGGGGGGGGUCUCAGAAGCAGCAGGGUGCCUGCAAAUAAUUUCAACAGCCUGAUGGUUGGUGUCCCGACUCCAGUCUUCUUCACUCCAGUGAGUUCUCCGCUCAGCUGCCAAUCUUCCUAAAAUGUGCGCCACACCAGCUUUGUGUCAGAUCUGGCAGCGAGUCACAGAACCAGUUGGGAAGAGUUGAUCAUCGGUAAAGGGCAUCAGGAUCAAAAGAGACUUUGGAAUAUCAAAUGUAAGAGCUAGAACAUACGGGGCAGCGAGGUGGCUCGGCGGAUAGAGCUAGCCCUGGAGAGAGGAGGUCCUGGGUUCAAAUCUGGUCUCAGACACUUCCUGGCUAUGUGACCCAGGACAACUCAGUUAAUCCCAAUUUCUUAACCCUUACCACUCUUCUGCCUUGAAACCAAUAUUUAGUAUCAAUAUUAAGGCAGAAGAUUAGGGUUUAAAAAAAAAAGAGCUAGAACAUGGAACCAUAAAACAUGAGAUAUUAGUGUAACACACACACACAUACUAUAUGCCCAUCUUUCCCAUAGCACCUUCUGC
rnacentral:lncRNA from 1 species